GACGAACGCUGGCGGCGUGCUUAACACAUGCAAGUCGAACGAAGUGGCGCACGGGUGAGUAACGCGUAAUCAACCUGCCCUUCAGAGGGGGACAACAGUUGGAAACGACUGCUAAUACAGCAUACUGAAGGAGGGGAUUGCGUCUGAUUAGCUAGUUGGAGGGGUAACGGCGCACCAAGGCGAUGAUCAGUAGCAGGGCGGAGAGGAUGAACGGCCACAUGGGGACGGGAACACGGCCCAGACCCCUCCGGGAGGCAGCAGGGGGGAAUCUUUCGCAAUGGACGAAAGUCUGACGGAGCAACGCCGCGGGAGUGAUGACGGCCUUAGGGUUUUAAAGCUGUGUUAAUCGGGACGCGGUACCGGAAUAGAAAGCCACGGCUAACUACGUGCCAGCAGCCGCGGUAAUAC
rnacentral:rRNA from 1 species